rnacentral:rRNA from 1 species
AACGAACGCUGGCGGCAUGCCUAACACAUGCAAGUCGAACGAGACCUUCGGGUCUAGUGGCGCACGGGUGCGUAACGCGUGGGAAUCUGCCCUUGGGUUCGGAAUAACUUCGGGAAACUGAAGCUAAUACCGGAUGAUGACGUAAGUCCAAAGAUUUAUCGCCCAAGGAUGAGCCCGCGUAGGAUUAGCUAGUUGGUGAGGUAAAGGCUCACCAAGGCGACGAUCCUUAGCUGGUCUGAGAGGAUGAUCAGCCACACUGGGACUGAGACACGGCCCAGACUCCUACGGGAGGCAGCAGUGGGGAAUAUUGGACAAUGGGCGAAAGCCUGAUCCAGCAAUGCCGCGUGAGUGAUGAAGGCCUUAGGGUUGUAAAGCUCUUUUACCCGGGAUGAUAAUGACAGUACCGGGAGAAUAAGCUCCGGCUAACUCCGUGCCAGCAGCCGCGGUAAAGUGACUACUGU